rnacentral:rRNA from 1 species
GUACGGAAGGCAGCAGUAGGGAAUAUUGGGCAAUGGAAGGAAUUCUGACCCAGCCAUGCCGCGUGAAGGAUGAAGGCGCUACGCGUCGUAAACUUCUUUUGAGUGGGACGAAAAUGGGCGACUUGUCGUCAACUGACGGUACCACUAGAAUAAGCACCGGCUAACUCCGUGCCAGCAGCCGCGGUAAUACGGAGGGUGCAAGCGUUAUCCGGAUUUACUGGGUUUAAAGGGUGCGUAGGCGGGGGAUUAAGUCAGUGGUGAAAUGUAGUCGCUUAACGACUAACGUGCCAUUGAUACUGGUUCUCUUGAGUUAUAGUGAGGUUGGCGGAAUGAGACAUGUAGCGGUGAAAUGCUUAGAUAUGUCUUAGAACACCGAUUGCGAAGGCAGCUGACUGGCUAUAUACUGACGCUGAGGCACGAAAGCGUGGGGAUCAAACAGGAUUAGAUACCCCAGUAGUCG